rnacentral:rRNA from 1 species
GUGACAGCAGCCGCGGUACUACCGGCAGCCCGAGUGAUGGCCGAUAUUAUUGGGCCUAAAGCGUCCGUAGCUGGCCGAACAAGUCCGUCGGGAAAUCCACGUGCUUAACGCGUGGGCGACCGGCGGAAACUGUUCGGCUUGGGGCCGGAGGACCCGAGGGGUACGUCCGGGGUAGGAGUGAAAUCCUGUAAUCCUGGACGGACCACCGAUGGCGAAAGCACUUCGAGAAAACGGAUCCGACAGUGAGGGACGAAAGCCAGGGUCUCCAACCGGAUUAGAAACCCGAGUAGUCC